UAAAUGUGGUUAUGAAUAAAUUUGUCGAAAAUGAGGUUCCUCGUGAAAUUACAAAUGAUAUCAAAGGAGUGAUUAAAGGAGUAUGGCCAACGUGGAAAAAGGUGCCUAAUGAUAUUAAAGAUUUACUUUGGGAAAAUUUUAAGUUGAGAUAUAAUUGGGAUAAUUUUACCGACAGAGAAAUGAAAAA